rnacentral:rRNA from 1 species
UACGUAGGGGCCUAGCGUUGUUCGGAUUUACUGGGCGUAAAGGGCGCGUAGGCGGCGUGGUAAGUCACUUGUGAAAUCUCUGAGCUUAACUCAGAACGGCCAAGUGAUACUGCUGUGCUAGAGUGCGGAAGGGGCAAUCAGAAUUCUUGGUGUAGCGGUGAAAUGCGUAGAUAUCAAGAGGAAUACCUGAGGUGAAGACGGGUUGCUAGGCCGACACUGACGCUGAGGCGCGAAAGCCAGGGGAGCAAACGGG